GACGAACUGCCCAAACGUUGUUCGGAAUCACUGGGCUUAAAGGGCGCGUAGGCGGCAGAUCAAGUCAGGGGUGAAAUCCGGCAGCUCAACCGUCGAAGUGCCUUUGAUACUGAUUUGCUCGAGGGAUAUAGGGGUCUGUGGAACUUCUGGUGGAGCGGUGAAAUGCGUUGAUAUCAGAAGGAACGCCGGUGGCGAAAGCGGCGGACUGGAUAUCUUCUGACGCUGAGGCGCGAAAGCUAGGGGAGCAAACGGG
rnacentral:rRNA from 1 species